AUCUCUUGAAGAUUUUAAGGUAAUUUUCGUGUUUUAGGACUUGCACUAACAAUAAUCAACAUGAUUUUAGACCAAGAACACUUGAUAAUCGGAUUUUUUUUUCAUUAAGGUUGAUUAUUAUUGGACUUCUUAUAUAUAAACUACAAUUUGAAGAAAAAAUGGUUUUAUCCUGGGUCCCUAUAAUAUGUAGGAGCUAGUAGAAUUAAACCUAGGAUAUUCUAUAUUAUGAUCAUCACCUCCAUUUAGUGGUUGAUCAUUUGAAAUAAAAAAUUAAAAACUAUUUUUUUGAUUUGUUUAAUACUGUAUAUAAAUAAGUACACACAUUGUCGGUUGAACCGGCAGUACAGCACCGAUUCCCAUAUUUCAAGAAAGGCCGAUUCUUUCGGAUUCCGAUGCCUCGGUACACCCCUAAUAAAUUCAUAAUAUUGAAUAAGGUAUUAUAAAAGAGGGCCCGGAUUUUUGUAGUUGUUAACUGAUUCAGGGAGAGUGACCCCUUCCUUAAUAUAUGCUUGAGGACUCCGAUUUUACCUGAGUACUAAAAUAUCUACUAUUUAGAAUGAAUAAUUAAUAAUUAUUUAUGGAAUAUGAAGAGGAUCUAGGUGAAGAUGCAAAAUAAUUAAUGUUUUAUUGAUGAUAACCUCCAUGAAAAUUAUAGCGGACCCAUUCAUCAUUACAUAUUUCAGUUUAAUAUUUGUCAUUCCUUAGACGAGACUACUCUUACACUUAGACAUUACUUAUUUUCCAAUGAGCCCAGAGCAUCAUAACCAGGACUCGGAAGCAGAAUGACACGGAACAUGAGGACUCGGACUUUACCUAAACACUAAAAAUAUGUACUAUUUAGAAUGAAUAAUUAAUAAUUAUUAAUGGAAUAUGAAGAGGAGAUUACACGUAAAUUCCAACAUUACUUAUUUUUCCAUGGACUUCAAGCAUAAAGAAUUGUUUUUGGAACCAGAAACCCCGGAGCAUGAGGACUUUGACUUGACAUGAACACUGAAAAGACGAGACAACUUGUACUCCCAGACAUUACUUAUUUUCUAAUGUUCACAGAGCAGGAUUACCUGUACUUGGAAGCAGAAAAACAGCGAACAUGAGGAUUCGGAUUUUACCUGAGCACUAAAA
rnacentral:lncRNA from 1 species